UACAGAGGAUGCAAGCGUUAUCCGGAAUUACUGGGCGUAAAGCGUGCGCAGGCGGUUUGCUAAGACAGGUGUGAAAUCCCCGGGCUUAACCUGGGAACUGCGCUUGUUACUGGCAGGCUUGAGUGUGGCAGAGGGGGGUGGAAUUCCACGUGUAGCAGUGAAAUGCGUAGAGAUGUGGAGGAACACCGAUGGCGAAGGCAGCCCCCUGGGCUAACACUGACGCUCAUGCACGAAAGCGUGGGGAGCAAACAGG
rnacentral:rRNA from 1 species